AUUGAACGCUGGCGGCAGGCUUAACACAUGCAAGUCGAACGAGUGGCGGACGGGUGAGUAAUGCUUGGGAAUCUAGCUUCUGGAGGGGUAUCACUACGGGAAACUGUAGCUAAUACCGCGUACCAUAGUAUGAGCCCAAGUGGGAUUAGGUAGUUGGUGGGGGAAAGGCUCACCAAGCCGACGAUCUCUAGCUGGUCGGAGAGGGUGACCAGCCACACGGGGACUGAGACACGGUCCAGACUCCUACGGGAGGCAGCAGUGGGGAAUAUUGCGCAAUGGGGGCAACCUGACGCAGCCAUGCCGCGUGAAUGAAGAAGGCCUUCGGGUUGUAAAGUUCUUUCGGUAGCGAGGCGUUAACUACAGAAGAAGCACCGGCUAACUCCGUGCCAGCCGCCGCGGUAAUUC
rnacentral:rRNA from 1 species